UACCUAUUUGCUCUGGCCCCUCUUGUUCCUUCUUAUCCAUUCCUGCUCUUCUCAGCAGAACACGGAGAGCACAGCGAUCUCGUGUGAGCGCCAUCCUCCAAUCCUCUCCAUGGCGUCGAUGGAUCCAAUCCAGCGGCCUGGCGGGGGCGGCGGCGUGGCUCCCCGGCGGGCGAGCGCUGUUUUAUUGCUGGGGCAGCGGCGAGGAUCCCCACUGUCAAGCACGGCAGGGCAGUGAUGUGUUUCUCCAGCAGGUGAUUCAACAUUGGCAUUGGGUUCAGUAGGGGCGAGGUCGAGGUAGGCGGAGAGAGGGCGGGCAGUUCGGCGCCGCAGCAGGCUCCACGACGCAGCGUACUGGGGAUCAGGGCCUCGAUGCUUAGAUCAGGUGGUGGUGAUGGCCGAUUUGAGAUUCGACUAUUGACACUAUCGGUACCGACCAAAAGCUGCAACCGGUACUGAUGAAUCAGUACCGGCUGCAACGGCGGAUGACCUUUGGCAUCGUGGCACCAGGUUGUGUCACGGCCCCAACCAAAAGUUUAAGAUAUUAGCACCGGAUGACAUUAGCACCGGAUCAUAUCAUAGUCCGGUUGCAACAGCUCCACAGGUAUCAGUGUGGGGUCGUGGCAUGAUUCGGUGCUAACGAAUGAUCACUAGCGUCGGGCUAUGCCACGAUCCGGCACUAAUGCCUACGCCUAUAAUUACCGGAUCCUACCCUCCAUGUUGUCGUAAAUUCAAUACUGUUCAUGACAGCCAAGUGAAGAGAGAGGAGGGGAAUUUUUGCAAUUUCUUUUCAGAGAUAGAUGAGUCGGCAAUGGAUGUACAACGCCGAUCGGCAUUCAAUGGAGUCUAUUAAUGGUGUGCACAAAUUCAUCGAUGCGGCCAAGAAACACAAGCAUGAUAGUUUCUUUCGUUGUCCAUGCCAAAUCUGCAAGAACGAGAAGGAUUACUCGUCAAGAAGAACUAUUCACAAUCACUUUUUUUGAAAGCGGUUUCAUGCCCAACCGCCUAACUAUAAUGUAUGGACCGAGCACGGAUAAAGAGGGAUUAUGCUGCAGGAUGAUGAAGAAGAAGAGGAGAGCAUUCCUGACUUUGGGAUGAUUACGGUGCCUUCUUUGAAGAUACUAUGAUGGGUAAGCCUAAAGAAGAUGCUGAAGCACAGGUUUCAGAAGAUGAUCUUGGUCAGAUCCUGCGUGAAGCGGAGGAAGUCUGUGAAACUAAAAAGGAAUCCAGGGAUUUGAAGCGUAUGUUUGAGGACUACAUAUCAUUGUUGUACCCAGAUUGCAAACAAGGGUACAAAAGGUUGGGUACCACAUUGGAAUCAAAUGGUUUAUUAGACAAGUGUUUUGAGAAGUUGCUAAAACUUAUAAAAAACCUACUCCCUAAGGGUAACACAUUGCCCGAAACAACUUACGAGGCAAGAAAGGUUGUUUGUCCUAUAGGAUUGGAAGCAUAGAAGAAAUAUGCAUGUCCUAAUGAUUGCAUCCUCUUCUGUGGUGAGGAGUGUGAAAACUUGGAUGCUUAUUCGGUAUGCAAAGCUUGUUGGUAUAAAAUCCCUAAAGAUGAUCCAUUGAGGGGGUGCAUACCAAGAAGAGAGUGCCUGCUAAGGUGAUGUGGUAUUUUCAUAUAAUACCACGUUUGAAAUGCCUAUUCAUGAACAAAACGAAUGCUAAAUUGAUGCGAUGGCACCAAAAAAUGAGGAAGCAAGAUAAUAUGUUGAGAGACCCAGAUGAUGGGUCCUAGUGGAUGAAGGUGGACAAAAUAUUCUCAACUUUUGCAGAUGAUGCAAGAAACAUUAGGUUUGGAUUAAGCACAGAUGGCAUGAAUCCUUUCGGUGAGCAGAGCAAUAGCCAUAGUACUUGGCCUGUAACACUGUGUAUAUACAAUCUUACUCCUUGGCUAUGUAUGAAGCGGAAGUUCAUUACGAUGCCAGUGCUUAUCCCCGGCCCGAAAAAAUCUGGUAAUGAUAUUGAAGUGUACCUAAAA